UCUACGUGAAAUUUAUUAUUGUAAUAUGAAAAGCCUGUGGUGUUAAACUUAUAUAAUUAUUGUACAUAUUUAUUGAUGGUAAAAUGUUCCCGAGAAGGAAAAAUAUCUUUUUCUUUUAAUUAUCUGCCAUUUUGUGAUUGUAAUACUGAUGUUUGAGCACGUGGUUUGCAAGAUGGUGUAAAGUGAGAAUUGCAUCAUUUAGACUGAAUUUUGGUAUUUAUGUUAAAUUAAGCUCUUUAAUUAGGAAAGCUGUGGCAUACAAAUGUGUCAAAAAACAAUUUCUGUUCUAUUUUGUUAAAGAACAUUUUGGAGAAGUCGUUCGAAACAUUGGAGCACGUUUGGCGAAGAAAGGUUCUAUGCCAUUAUUGUUGCUGAUUUAGUGAUUAAAUCAGAUUAUUGAUUUGAAGCUUCCGUUAUCAAAAGAACAUAUUGGAGAAGUCGUUCAAAACAUUGGAGCAUGUUUGAUGAAGAACGGUUAUUUGCCAUUACUGUAGCUGACUUAGUUAUUAAAUCAGAUUAUUGAUUCGAAGCUUCCGCUAUCAAAAGAACAUUUUAGAGAAGUCGUUCAAAACAUUGGAGCACGUUUGAUAAAGAAAGGUUCUUUGCCAUUACAGUUGCUGACUUAGUGAUUAAAUCAGAUUAUUGAUUCGAAGCUUCCGUUAUCAAAAGGUAAGAUGAAAAUAUUGGUCUUAUUUUAA